rnacentral:rRNA from 1 species
UGCCUACGGGACGCAGCAGUGGGGAAUAUUGCACAAUGGGGGAAACCCUGAUGCAGCGACGCCGCGUGAGUGAAGAAGUAUUUCGGUAUGUAAAACUCUAUCAGCAGGGAAGAAAAACCGGCCUUAGGGCCGCCAGACGGUACCUGACUAAGAAGCCCCGGCUAACUACGUGCCAGCAGCCGCGGUAAUACGUAGGGGGCAAGCGUUAUCCGGAUUUACUGGGUGUAAAGGGAGCGUAGACGGCAGCGCAAGUCUGGAGUGAAAUGCCGGGGCCCAACCCCGGAACUGCUUUGGAAACUGUGCAG